rnacentral:rRNA from 1 species
UGGCGGCGAGUGGCGAACGGGUGAGUAAUGUAUCGGAACGUGCCUAGUAGCGGGGGAUAACUACUCGAAAGAGUAGCUAAUACCGCAUACGCCCUACGGGGGAAAGGGGGGGAUCGCAAGACCUCUCACUAUUGGAGCGGCCGAUAUCGGAUUAGCUAGUUGGUGGGGUAAAGGCCUACCAAGGCGACGAUCCGUAGCUGGUUUGAGAGGACGACCAGCCACACUGGGACUGAGACACGGCCCAGACUCC